CAAACUUUUAAAAGUAACUUUAAACCAACUAUAAAAAAAUAAACUGUUACAUCAUGCAAAGAAAUAUUAUUUAACACUAAAAAUAAAUUAGUUACAGAUCAUGAGAUGACAUGGAAAUAUCUUAAAGGCUUAUUACUAAGUAAAAUAUUUUGAGUCAAUUUGAGAAGGCUUCAUAUUGUAUAAUUUCAACUCUGUGAUGUUCAGGAAAAGGCUGUGUGUGUAUGGGGAAGAGGUACAUGGGAAAUCUUUGUACAUUCUGGUCAGUUUUGCUGUAAAUCUAAAACUUCUCUCUUAAAAAUAAGUAUAUUUUCCAGUAAACAUAUCUUUAACACAGAAACUCACUCAAAGUUUCCUUAAGGUUUUCAAGGGAGAGAAAACAAAGCUUUGUGCAUUGAAUUUGGCUCUGGGCAAGGCAGAGAGGGGCAUUCCUCUGGGAGUACAUGGUGGUCAGUGGCUGGACUCCAGGAGGGAAUGACUAGGCUGGUGCUCAGAACCUUGUUUUCCCCUGCUCACUCACUAAUGAGUGUAUACACUGGAUAGACAGAUAAACCAAGAAGAAAAUUCACAUUUCAGGGGAAGUAUUCUUACAAAAUGCAGUAGAUCCCUGUAAUCAUUUGGUCAAAGGAUAUAGAUAUUCUGAAUCCCAGAAAUUACACAGGGAAGAAAUGUAGCAUAAUUUAAAAAUGAGUUCUUUAGUGAAUUUUAAAAGACAAGUAGUUAAGAGGAUAGUUAGUGUAACACCCGAAGUUUGGAAAUCUGUGCUUUAUUUCCCCUGUAAAGCAUUCUCUAAGGCUUUUCAAAAGUCAAGAAUGACAAGAGAAUUCUGGCCAUGAGCAGCCACUCUGUUAGCAAGCCGGCUGGCUACGAAGAGGCUUGAUCUUAUCAAGGUGGAAAUGGAAACUCUCAGUUCCCUUUUGGUGGCUUAUGACUUGGUAACUUGGUCUAUAUCCCCCCAAAACCUAAAUUGCAAGCAGAAAGUAUAUUCCAGGUAAUAAUCCACUUACCCCUGGGCACUCUGGUCUUUGCUUGAUAUAACUGAUUCCUUGUGUUUUUCUCUCCUUGGAGUCAAAAUUUACUUAAGGGACUCCGGUGGUGACCUUGCUGUACCCCAGGAUUCAUAGAAAUUUCAGAAUGCAGAGUUUUCACCUUUGACUCAUAGCUGUCUUUUUUUCUUUGGAAAACAGGCUGAGAACAAAUUUGUCAGACAUAACACUCAAGCAUAACUCCUUUAUGAAUCUCUUAAACAUUGUGAUCAGGUGUUAGAGUUGUAAACAAGUCAGGAUGGCGCCUGGCAUUUUGCCAGGAAAAUGUUAGAGUUCAUAAACAAGUCUGGAUGGUGCCUGGCAAAAUGCCAGAGGGAGUGGUUUGAGAAGUAACAAAAGCGAGCCAUUAAGUGUGGAGAUUCCUUAUUGGUUGACUGAUGUAUCUAGUUUAUGCUAAUUAGAUAAGCUGUGUGGAAUGUAUAAAUACUGCUCCUGUCCUGCAAUAAACGGCUUCCACUCCUGCUGCAUCAACGUACACAAGUUGUUCAUCAUCCCCCCGGUUAUUUUGCUGCAGCCGGACUGCGGCAAUCAGGCAGCUCAUAAAGCUUUGGGUUUUGUUCUUUCUUGAAAGUCUCCUUGGCUCUUUAUUCAAACAAACGUCUACAAGGCAGUUCUGUGCAUCUUCCACAUCUGCAGCAAAGUGUGUGAACCCAAUUUAGUUGAAUAAUUUCCCAAGAAGAGUCUCAGCUUAAUGGAUAUAGAGCUGUAUUGGGCUCUGCUAUGGGUUUACCAGGUUUGACCAAAAAUACAUAAGCUCUAGAAAUGAACACAGAGAGGAAAUCGUCAAUGAUUGACACAGUAUCCUUUAACAUGUAUAAACAAGGACAAUGCUCAAAAAAGAUUUGAACCAGCAGUGCCUGCCAUGGGUGCUGGUUUUAGUCCAUUAUCAAACCUGAUCAAGGACAUGAGUUAAUGGUGGAGGCUUUGAAGCACAAGGUGAACACUCCUCUUUGAUCUAUGUUGACAUCACUCAAUGCUCUAAGUUUGUUUGUUUUUAAAUUUUACAUUUAUUUAUUUUGUUAUACAUGACAGCAGAAUGCAUUUCAAUUUAUAGUACAUAUAUAGAGCACAAUUUUUCAUGUCUUUGGUUGUACACAAAGUAGAGUCACAUCAUUUAUGUCUUCAUACAUGUACUUAGGGUAAUGAGGUCCAUCUCAUUCUACCAUCUUUCCUACCCCCAUUCACCCUCCCUUUCCCUCCUUCCCCUUUGCCCUAUCUAAAGAUCCUUCAUUUUUCCUAUGCCCCCCCCAUUCCCCAUUGUGGAUCAGCAUCCACAUAUCAGAGAAAACAUUUGGCAUUUAUGUGUGUGUGUGUGUGUGUGUGUGUGUGUGUGUGAUUGGCUUACUUCACUUAGCAUAAUAUUUUUCAACUCCAUCCAUUUACUUGCAAAUGCCAUGAUUUUAUUCUCUUUUAAUGCUGAAUAAUAUUCCAUUGUGUAUAUAUACCACAGUUUCUUAUACAUUCAUCUACUGAAGGGCAUCAGUUUGGUUCCACAAUUUUGCUAUUGUGAAUUGUGCUGCUAUAAACAUUGAUGUGGCUGUAUUACUGUAGUAUGCUAUUUUUAAAUCCUUUGUAUAAAUUGAGGGUUGGGAUACCUAGGUCAAAUAGAGGUUCUAUCCCAGGUUUUAUAAAUAAUCUCCAUAGUACUUUCCAGAUUGGUUGCACCAAUUUGCAGUACCACCAGCAAUGUAUGGUAUGUGCCUUUACCCCACAUUCUU
rnacentral:lncRNA from 1 species